GGUGCGACCGGAUGAUGGUCCUCAACGACCGUUUUCAAUUUACACUGGUCGGUGGGACUUUCGUCCGUUUGUAAC
rnacentral:pre_miRNA from 1 species